CAAUAGCGUAUACUAAUGUUGUUGCAGUUAAAAAGCUCGUAGUUGAACUUCUGGUAGGAGUGUCCCGGCCUUUUUGUUUUUACAAAUUGUAUGCUGUGUGACAUCUCUGGCCAUCCUUCUUCUUUGUUUAAAGAAGAUCUUUCACUGUAAAAAAAUUAGGGUGUUCAAAGCAAAAGUUUCUUUGGAAUAUAUUAGUAUGGGAUGAUAAGAUAGGCUCUAGAUGCUAUUUUGUUGGUUUGCACAUUUAGAGAAUGAUUAACAGGGGCAGUUGGGGGUAUUCGUAUUUACAUGUCAGAGGUGAAAUUCUUGGAUUUUGGAAAGACGAACUACUGCGAAAGCAUUUACCAAGGAUGUUUUCAUUAA
rnacentral:rRNA from 1 species